rnacentral:tRNA from 1 species
UUAAUUGAAACCAAAGCAGAGGUAUGCCACUGUUAAUGGCAUUAAUGAAAUAACUUCCAAUUGAG